GCUCAGAAAAUGAUGAGAGUAGAAAGUGUGUAGACGGCUAGAGUGGGGAGUGCCGCGCGUGAUCGUGGGCUAGGGGGCCAGAAGCUCCCGAGGCUGGCAGUCCCCACGCACUAUGGCUGGCAGUAGGCUGCGUUCCCGUCACACUCUGGAGACCCACUCUGAGAUUUCAAAGUUCUCCUCCAGGCAAAUGAUUUCCCGAUGAGCAGAAAAACACACAAAUUCUUCAAGAAUUUCUUUGAGAGCUGGACAUUAUACAUGUAAUCCCACACUUGGGAGACUAAA